ensembl:snoRNA
GGCCCUGUGCUUGUAAGGCAAGCACUUUACCAACUGAGCUAUCUCCCCAGCACAACUUUAACCUUUUAAAUGACAGUGUGAUAGAAAUUCAUUAUCUCACAUUGUUGGUUUGCUUGGCUUUAUACAUGUUAAACCCAAGUAUUUCUAUUGAUAAAACA